AUUGAACGCUGGCGGAAUGCUUUACACAUGCAAGUCGAGCGGCAGCGCGGGGCAACCUGGCGGCGAGCGGCGAACGGGUGAGUAAUGCAUCGGAACGUACCCCGUCGUGGGGGAUAACUACCCGAAAGGGUAGCUAAUACCGCAUACGACCUGAGGGUGAAAGCGGGGGACCGAAAGGCCUCGCGCGAUGGGAGCGGCCGAUGCCGGAUUAGCUAGUUGGUAGGGUAAAGGCCUACCAAGGCGACGAUCCGUAGCUGGUCUGAGAGGACGACCAGCCACACUGGAACUGAGACACGGUCCAGACUCCUACGGGAGGCAGCAGUGGGGAAUUUUGGACAAUGGGCGCAAGCCUGAUCCAGCCAUUCCGCGUGAGUGAAGAA
rnacentral:rRNA from 1 species